rnacentral:lncRNA from 1 species
CUCGUGUUGCAUCCAUUUUUUUGGCAAAAUUUGUAUCCUACUUCUUUUAAUAUAUCGACGGUAAAGCCAAUAAAUUCAAAAUGACUUUUACGCAUUGUAAACGAUGUUUUUUUUACAUGAAUGAUAAAAAAAAAAAUUAAAGAGGAUCGUCGGCCAAAUACGAUUUGAUAAUAAAAAUAAAGAAAAUAUUUAAAAAUUACGAUUAUCAACCACGACCUUAUGGGCUUUGCACCGUUGCACUUGACAUGUCACUACGCCUUGGUCUGGAAGGCGGCAUCCGUAAAAAUACAUAAAAUCAAAAGAGGAAUCGCGUAAAACGGAUAAAUGAGCGUAAAGUUAUGUCGUUUUAAGGAUUCACACUUUCGCACCUAGAGCGGAAGGAGGAAGGGUAAUAAGAAAAUUUAGAGUGCAAGGAAUGUCGGAUGCGAUCAUACCAGCACUAACGCACCGGAUCCCAUCAGAACUCCGAAGUCAAGCGUGCUUGGGCUAGAGUAGUACUAGGAUGGGUGACCCCUUUGGAAGUCCUCGUGUUGCAUCCCUUUUUUGGCAAAAUUUGUAUCCUACUUCUUUUAAUAUAUCGACGGUAAAGCCAAUAAAUUCAAAAAUGACUUUUACACAUCGUAAACGAUAUUUUGUUUACAUGAAUGAUAAAAAAAAAUUAAAGAGGAUCGCCAGCCAAAUACGAUUUGAUAAUAAAAAUAAAGAAAAUAUUUAAAAAUUACGAUUAUCAACCACGACCUUACGGGCUUAGCACCGUUGCACUUGACAUGUCACUACGCCUUGGCCUCGAAGGCGGCAUCCGUAAAACGUCGAGUUGCGAUGUCGUCGUUCCAUGCGGCCCAGUUUAAUAGGCAUGGCGGCCCUCUAAUUGCGAUAUUAUCGCCGAGCGCGGCUUGUUGUUAUUGGUCAACGCCUUUGCCCGGGAAAAAUACAUAAAAUCAAAAGAGGAAUCGCGUAAAAUGGAUAAAUGAGUGUAAUGUUAUGCCGUUUUAAGGCUUUACACUUUUGAUCUGGAGCGGAAGGAGGAAAGGUAAUAGGAAAAUUUAGAGUGCAAGGAAUGUCGGAUGCGAUCAUACAGGCACUAACGUACCGGAUCCCAUCAGAACUCUUAAGUUAAGCGUGUUUGGGCGAGAGUAGUACUAGCAUAGGUAAUCCCUUGGGAAGUCCUCGUGUUGCAUCUUUUAUUUUUGGCAAAAUUUGUAUCCUACUUCUUUUAAUAUAUCGACGGUAGAGCCAAUAAAUUCACGAAUGACUUUUACGGAUUGUAAACAAUAUUUCUUCACUUGAAUAAUAAAAAAAAAUUAAAGAGGACAAUUAUGGAAAAGAUCAAAAAGGCCAAAUACGAUUUGAUAAUAAAAAUAAAGAAAAUAUUUAAAAAAUUACAUUAUCAACCACGACCUUACGGGCUUAGCACCGUUGCACUUGACAUGUCACUACGCCUUGGUCUCGAAGGCGGCAUCCGUAAAA